ACCGAAUAGAUACCCUGGUAGUCCACGCCCUAAACGAUGCGAACUGGAUGUUGGUCUCAACUCGGAGAUCAGUGUCGAAAGCUAACGCGUUAAGUUCGCCGCCUGGGGAGUACGGUCGCAAGACUGAAACUCAAAGGAAUUGACGGGGGCCCGCACAAGCGGUGGAGUAUGUGGUUUAAUUCGAUGCAACGCGAAGAACCUUACCUGGCCUUGACAUGUCCGGAAUCCUGCAGAGAUGCGGGAGUGCCUUCGGGAAUCGGAACACAGGUGCUGCAUGGCUGUCGUCAGCUCGUGUCGUGAGAUGUUGGGUUAAGUCCCGCAACGAGCGCAACCCUUGUCCUUAGUUGCCAGCGAGUAAUGUCGGGAACUCUAAGGAGACUGCCGGUGACAAACCGGAGGAAGGUGGGGAUGACGUCAAGUCCUCAUGGCCCUUACGGCCAGGGCUACACACGUACUACAAUGGUCGGUACAGAGGGUUGCAAUACCGCGAGGUGGAGCCAAUCCCAGAAAGCCGAUCCCAGUCCGGAUUGGAGUCUGC
rnacentral:rRNA from 1 species